rnacentral:misc_RNA from 1 species
GUUCCGUAGGUGAACCUGCGGAAGGAUCAUUAUUGUGUAACCGAGGUGCGAGGGCUGUCGCUGACCCGAAAGGUCGUGCACGCCCGAGUGCCCUCACACACAUCCAUCUCACCCCUAUGUGCACCACCGCGUGGGUCCCCCUUUGGCUUGUUCGGAGGGGGGCUUACGUUUUCACACAAACUUUGUAUGCAGUGUAGAAUGUAUUUUUUGUUUUUGCGAUCACGCAAUCAAUACAACUUUCAACAACGGAUCUCUUGGCUCUC